GAUUAAAUUAUAUCUCCCCUGCUACCUUCCACCUUCACUUUGACUUCGAUCUGAACAAUUUUGUUGCAGAAACAAUAUCGAGAGCUUUUGAUCAGACAUGGCUGUUGCUGCUUAUGCAUCGUUGGUUUCUCUUACUCAUGUCCUCAACAAUCUCCACUAUCGCGCCCGCUUUAAUCUCCCUCGUGCCGACAUCAAACAAGUCGAAGAACUCAGGGAAAAAGUCAAUUCCUUGCUGGAAUUUGUCGAGCGUCAUUCGGCAAGAAAGAGCUCUGAGCUUCGAGGUCUGUGGAGACAAAUGACUGAGGCUGCCGCUGAAGCAGAAGGUUCCAUCAACUUCCAUGUGGUCCAUCUGCUCCAUGUGAGAUCUCAAGGAGAAACGAGUGAUGCUUCCAACUUCUCAGCUUUCUGUGAAGAAAUGAAGACAUUGAUCAAAAAGUUUUGCUCCAUCGAAGACAAGCUUCCGGUGAUUGACGGAGGGGAGGAUAAUCAAGCUCAAAAGCAAUCCAAUUCUGUCGUUCCCUCUGGUGGUUCGUCUUCAGCUUCUUCGUAUGUCAGCGAUCUUGUUGUGGGACUGGACGAGCAUGUAAACGAGAUCAGGGAAAAGCUGGUCGAAGGUAGAUCUGAUUUCAAAAUUCUCCCAAUUGUUGGGAUGGGCGGUAUUGGUAAGACCACUCUGGCUAAAAGUGUCUUUCACGAUAAGUUUAUUGUUGAGCACUUCGAUUUACGCAUUUGGCUUCCCAUAUCUCAACAAUAUAAUGCUGAAGAAAUUCUUAAUGUUGGCCUCGGUGGAAAGGCAGGAGAAAACAAAACAUGUGAAAGUUUAGAUGAAUUGGGAACUAGAUUCUACCAAAAAUUGUUCGGUAGAAGAUAUUUGAUUGUUAUGGAUGACAUGUGGUCAACUGGAGCUUGGAAUGAUUUACGGAGGUAUUUUCCCAACGCUGGAGAUGGAAGUCGUAUUUUGUUAACAACUAGACUCUCAGACAUGGCUGCUUCUUUAGGAUCUUAUGAUCCAUAUCGAUUAACUUUUUUAGAUGAAAAUGAAAGUUGGAGAUUAUUUUGUCAAAGUGCUUUUUCACAAAAGGGUUGUCCAUACGGUCACUUGGAAAAGUUUGCAAAGGAUAUCACAAGAAGCUGCAGAGGCCUUCCUUUAGAAAUUGUUGUCGUUGGCCGUUUGCUAGCAAAUUCUGGUAUGACUGCAAAAUAUUGGGAAAAUAUUUGGAGAAAUAUUAGUUCAUUUGGUGAUUUGGGAGACGAUGACCAUUGUAUGAACAUACUCUCUUUAAGUUAUGAGAACUUGCCCAUUGAACUCAAAGUGUGCUUUUUAUAUAUGCGAGUUUUUCCUGAAGAUAGAAUGAUUUUUGUCUCGGAACUUAUUGACUUAUGGAUUGCUGAAGGAUUCAUUAAACCUGUAAGUGGUAGACGUUUGGAGGAUAUCGCGAGCGAGUAUGUAAGUAGCCUUAUUGGUAGAAAUCUAAUAUUUAGCAAGGAUGAAGAUCAAUGUGGUAUUCAUGAUCUUCUACGGGAUCUUUGUUUUAGAGAGUCUAACGAAGAAUGUUUUCUCCAGUUUCCACGAGUACAAAGGGUUAACCAACUAAAAGGCAUUUUUUGCAACCAUUGUUGUAAAAAAGUCAAGGACAGUGAAGGGUUACAUGUUUUAAAACCAUCUUAUAUCUUUGGAUCGCCAUCACUAGACAAUCCUCGUCUUUGUGAUGCUUGUAAUAAGGUGUACUCGCAUAUUACAAGACAUAGUUUGGUAAGGAUGGCAAAUUACAAAGAUCAGGAAAUUUUGCAGCCAACAGAAUUGCGACUUCUUGAUUUAGAUGUGCAAGAAUUGUUGUCUCCUUCGACAAUAUAUUUACUUUGGAAUCUUCAAAGUUUAAAUAUUGAAUUAAACUCUUCUUCACCUACAAGUUUUCCGUCAGAGAUAUGGGAGAUGCCACAACUCAGAGAGAUUCGAUCUUCGAACCAAAUGCUUUUACCGAAUCCUACAGACACUGAUAUUGAUGGGGAAGAAGUUCUUAUCCUUAAUGACCUUCACACUAUAGACUCAGCAUGCAAUGUGAAGUUUACUAAGGAAAUCAUUGAUCGUAUCCCAAAUUUGAAGAACUUGAAUGUGGAGUAUGACUAUGGAAACGAGGAGGACAUGGAGGAUUUGUACGACUCCGAAAAUGAGGAGGACAUGGAGGAUUUGUACGACUCCGAAAAUGAGGAGGAUUUGAACUUUUGUCUAUGUAAUCUUGAGCAACUACAAAAGCUUGAAUCACUAUCAAUAAGCUAUUCCUCGGAGAGCAUGACCUUCCCUAAAUCACUAAAAGAGUUGUCCUUGACAAAUUGUGAAAUGACAUGGGAAGAUAUGUCGAUUGUUGGUUCAUUGCCUAGUCUCGAAAAACUGGAGAUACAUGGUCAGAUACAAGGUGACGAUUGGGAGCCUGGCGUCGACGAAUUUCAUUGCCUGAAAGAGCUGCAAAUGCAUUAUACUCGUUUACGGCGUUGGGAAGUUGGUGCUGAAAACUUCCCAAAACUUGAGCACCUUCUACUCAAAGGAUUGUAUUCACUGGAGGAGAUCCCUUUAAGUGUUGGAGAUAUACCAACAUUGAAAUCAAUUGUGCUGAAUGAUUGUAGCGAAUCUGCAGCUGACUCGGCAAAGAAACUGUGGGAGGAUCAAUACGAGUUCGAUAAUGACAUUAGGAUUGAUCUUAUCAAUAUAGGCGGGGUCUCGUAUACAGUUGGUACGUCUACUGCAAGUAUGACCGCGACUGCUUGUAAAUCUUUGGCUACAUUCAAACAUCUUCAGCAAAGACUCGAGGAGGUUUCUGAGCUUGGCCGUAAUUCUAUAGACAAAAAACAAAUGGAAGUUUUGAAAGAAGACAUUGAUUUCUUGCUGGACUUUGUCAAAACUUUUCAUCCGAGUAAAAGCCAAGAAAUCGAGAAUUUGUCAAGUGAAAUAGCUCAGGCUGCCCAUAAAGCAGAGGUUGUGAUCCAGAGGCUACACUUGGAAAAUUUGACGCCUAUAUUCGAUAAGAUCAUCCUCGAAGAUGUGGGGAGUUUGUUGGCGAUAAUCGACUUCAUGAAAAGGAAGUUAUCGGUGGCUAAAGAGGAAGGGAAAGAAGACGAAUAUGAGAGCCUUCAAAUUAAUGUCACUGAUAAUGAUGCAGAAUUAUCGUAUGAUAUCAAAUCAUUGAGAAUCCAUUUGGGCAGGACUGUUACUGAUGAAGAUUUGAGAGAAUAUCGAAUCAAUUCUGUGACCGCGACAAUGGCGGAGGCUGCUAGUUUACUUUGGUCUGAAUUAGCUUGCAUCUUGGAGCUGCUCCGGAAGGCUUAUGAACUCAGCCGCCAUCAUCUGAACGUAAAGAAAAUGGAAGAGGUCGAAGAAUCCAUCAGUUUCUUGCAGGAUGUUGUCGAAGUUCAUCCUGAAAGACAAAUCCAAGAAAUCGAGAGUUUUUCAUGGAAAUUUGGCCAUAGCUUCGAUGUACCAACGCUUUUGGAUUCCGAACAACGUUGGCGGAGAUCUCUCAACAACAUAGCCGAUGAAGAUCUCAAAUCCCUCUUGAGAGAUGUGGAAAGGAUGACAAAAAAAAUAUGCUCUGUGAAAGAUACGUUGUUGGCACCAAAAGGGGAAGACAACUCUACAGAUGAUGAAGACGAUGACUCUUGUUAAGGUAUAUUUUUAUCAUUCUAAUAUUUCUCUCUCCUCGUUAGGGCAUUGUUGCACGAAGAGCUCUCGUUCAACCUUCAGCUUUAUGUUUUAUUUGUGCAUGAUCUAUGACAAUCACAAUAAGAAAAAAUCAGUUUUGUAACAAAAUCUUUUUGUCUCUAAAUCUACUAUUUCCGUUACUAAUGACAUUAGAGACGGAAUUAGGAAUGGAAUUACAUUAGUUACAUGAACUUUAGGGACGGAAUUCCGUUACAAAUAUAUUAUUUUUUUGUAGUGAAUGUCGAAUCCAAAUUCCAACUUUAGGUUUAUUUCGCACGAGGAAACCACUGGUGAAAGGAAGUUUCGAUUUUGAAUGUUCUUUUGUUGUUGUAACUUUAUUGGUUGAUUAAAAUGGUGUUGUUAGGUUCACGAUCGAUCCUACCCACGUUCCACUGAAGACGAAGAUUGAAAUUCAGAUAUCCGAUGCACCACAAGAAACAAUGGACGUCCGUUUUCAACAAAGCUACUUACGAAGAACCCAUUAACCCGGUGCCGACUCAUGAUAUGGAUGUGGCACAGAACAACCCCCAGCCAAAAAUAAUUCCUCCUACAACAUCUAUCCAACCAACUCGGCCAAAAUAAGAUGGUUUAAAUCACAACAGGUAAAACAAUCUAAAGAAUAUGGUCGUUGUGGUCGCCAAGGAUAGAACCGACGAAGUUGCAUGGAGGAUUUAGCUUAGCAAUUUCUGAUUUCUCAUCAUAUAAUUGGAAUUUCUUUUUAUUUUUUUGAUGAUUGUACAUUAAAUGGAAAUCUUUGUACGAGACCACUAUUGAAUGAUUUCAAAAUUAGAUGA